rnacentral:rRNA from 1 species
UACGUAGGGUGCAAGCGUUGUCCGGAAUUAUUGGGCGUAAAGAGCUCGUAGGCGGCUUGUCGCGUCGGCUGUGAAAACCUGGGGCUCAACCCCGGGCCUGCAGUCGAUACGGGCAAGCUAGAAUUCGGUAGGGGAGACUGGAAUUCCUGGUGUAGCGGUGAAAUGCGCAGAUAUCAGGAGGAACACCGGUGGCGAAGGCGGGUCUCUGGGCCGAUAUUGACGCUGAGGAGCGAAAGCGUGGGGAGCGAACAGG